AGUGAACGCUGGCGGUAGGCCUAACACAUGCAAGUCGAACGGCAGCACAGUAAGAGCUUGCUCUUACGGGUGGCGAGUGGCGGACGGGUGAGGAAUACAUCGGAAUCUACUUUUUCGUGGGGGAUAACGUAGGGAAACUUACGCUAAUACUGCAUACGACCUACGGGUGAAAGCAGGGGAUCUUCGGACCUUGCGCGAUUGAAUGAGCCGAUGUCGGAUUAGCUAGUUGGCGGGGUAAAGGCCCACCAAGGCGACGAUCCGUAGCUGGUCUGAGAGGAUGAUCAGCCACACUGGAACUGAGACACGGUCCAGACUCCUACGGGAGGCAGCAGUGGGGAAUAUUGGACAAUGGGCGCAAGCCUGAUCCAGCCAUACCGCGUGGGAGAAGAAGGCCUUCGGGUUGUAAAGCCCUUUUGUUGGGAAAGAAAAGCAGCAGGUUAAUACCCCGCUGUUCUGACGGUACCCAAAGAAUAAGCACCGGCUAACUUCGUG
rnacentral:rRNA from 1 species